rnacentral:rRNA from 1 species
UACGUAGGUGGCAAGCGUUAUCCGGAAUUAUUGGGCGUAAAGCGCUCGCAGGCGGUUUCUUGAGUCUGAUGUGAAAGCCCACGGCUCAACCGUGGAGGGUCAUUGGAAACUGGGGAACUUGAGUGCAGAAGAGAAAAGCGGAAUUCCACGUGUAGCGGUGAAAUGCGUAGAGAUGUGGAGGAACACCAGUGGCGAAGGCGGCUUUUUGGUCUGAAACUGACGCUGAGGAGCGAAAGCGUGGGGAGCAAACAGG